rnacentral:hammerhead_ribozyme from 1 species
AUCCAGCUGACGAGUGUUAAAUAGGACGAAACGCGUGUCCUGGAU